GUGCUCACUUCAGCAGUACAUAUACUACAAUUGCAACGAUACUGAGAUUAGCAUGGACCCUACAUAAUAAGGAUGACAAGCAAAUUCAUGAAGCAUUUCAUACUUUU